rnacentral:lncRNA from 1 species
CCAUUUGAGUUGAGAAAACACUGAAAUCUGCAAAAAUGAGCCGAAUAAAAUUAGGCACGGAAGAGGUAGAAGCACUGGAGCCUAGAAGUAAAGAGAUCAGCCAUGAUCUAGUUAGUAUAUGUGUAGGCAUAGAGCAAAGGAAAGAGAAUAUUACAGUGAGAUUGCAAAAGGAUCUAUCCCCUGCUUAAUGUCGACGUCUACAAAAGAAAAGGUUGGCAGUGAAUACCAUACUUAAAAUAGCUGAAGACCUUAAAACACUAACAACAGAACAAACUACACUGAACAAGAAAAUAAGGAACCUAAAAGGUGAACCUAACAAAUGAGGUGCAGGUUUAGAAAACGUCGGAAAGACAGGUAAUACGCAAUCUAUAACCUUUUCAAUUAAAUCUAUAGAACCUAGAAGUGAAAAUUUAGGUCCUAAGGAAGGUGACAUGUCAUGGUUUGAAAAUUGAUACCAGUGUAAAGUGUAACACGCAGAGGAGGUGGCCAAUGAAUGCCGAUAAGUAUGAAGCAUUAAAGAAUGAAGUCGACAAAUUGUUAGAGAAUGGCUUUAUUCUCAAUUCUCAAUAAAUAGUUUGGGUAUGUAAUAAAUAGUGCCAAAGAAAAACGAAAAAUGGAAAACUUGUCAAGAUUUCAUGGACUUGAAUAAAAUCGAUCAUGAGGACAAUUUUCUGUUCCCUAGAAUUGAUCAGCCGAUAGAUGCAACUAUGGGACAUGAACUUAGUGAACUAAAUGUUUGCAGAACAACUAGGAAAAAUGUUGGAAGUAUACAUCGUAACAUGAUAGUCAAGAGCUUUCUAGCAAAAAGCCACUUAUAGCAUUUAGAAUCUGGAAAAAUUCCUAUGAUACAUGGUGAAUCAAUGAAGUAUCAAAGUGAAUCCCAAUAAAAUUUAGGCUGUUACUAAAAUAUAGUCCCCAAUAAAGCCAAAUGAAGUACGAAGUUGAACAAAAAGGGUCGCCGCUUUGAGUAAAUUUGUAUCACAAAUGGUAG